UACGUAGGGUGCGAGCGUUGUCCGGAAUUAUUGGGCGUAAAGGGCUCGUAGGCGGUUUGUCGCGUCGGGAGUGAAAUCAUCUGGCUUAACUGGGUGCUUGCUUUCGAUACGGGCAGACUAGAGGUAUGCAGGGGAGAACGGAAUUCCCGGUGUAGUGGUGAAAUGCGUAGAUAUCGGGAGGAACACCAGUGGCGAAGGCGACUACCUGGCCUGUUCUUGACGCUGAGGCGCGAAAGCUAGGGGAGCAAACGGG
rnacentral:rRNA from 1 species